UACGGAGGGUGAAAGCGUUGUUCGGAAUCAUUGGGCGUAAAGAGCGCGUAGGCGGUAGGGUAUGUCUGAUGUGAAAGUCCAGAGCUCAACUCUGGAAGUGCAUUGGAAACUGCUCUACUUGAGUCCCGGAGGGGAUGGCAGAAUUCCUGGUGUAGAGGUGAAAUUCGUAGAUAUCAGGAGGAAUACCUGUGGCGAAGGCGGCCAUCUGGACGGUGACUGACGCUGAGGCGCGAAAGCGUGGGGAGCAAACAGG
rnacentral:rRNA from 1 species